AACGAACGGGAAAGCGGUUGUCAGAGGGACCGUAAAAUUGCCGGUGCCGACACGGGCUCAUAGCUCAGUUGGAAGAGCGCGGCCUUUGCGAGGCCGAGGCCGGGGGUUCAAAUCCCCCUGAGUCCAUUUAGUGCACCUGGAGAUGCGAGUCUUCAGGGAAGGGCAGAUGGUCACGUACCAGAUGAACGCCGUGUACAGGUGUGCGAUCUAGGACGUUAAAUGGGUUCGGCGGUUACUGGU
rnacentral:tRNA from 1 species